rnacentral:rRNA from 1 species
AACGAACGCUGGCGGCAUGCCUAACACAUGCAAGUCGAACGAGACCUUCGGGUCUAGUGGCGCACGGGUGCGUAACGCGUGGGAAUCUGCCUUUGGGUUCGGAAUAACAGUUGGAAAUGACUGCUAAUACCGGAUAAUGUCUUCGGACCAAAGAUUUAUCGCCCAGGGAUGAGCCCGCGUAGGAUUAGCUAGUUGGUGAGGUAAAGGCUCACCAAGGCGACGAUCCUUAGCUGGUCUGAGAGGAUGAUCAGCCACACUGGGACUGAGACACGGCCCAGACUCCUACGGAGGCAGCAGUGGGGAAUAUUGGACAAUGGCGAAAGCCUGAUCCAGCAAUGCCGCGUGAGUGAUGAAGGCCUUAGGGUUGUAAAGCUCUUUUACCCGGG